rnacentral:rRNA from 1 species
CAAUAGCGUAUAUUAAAGUUGUUGUGGUUAAAAAGCUCGUAGUUGAACCUUGGGCCUGGCCGUCCGGUCCGCCUCACCGCGUGUACUGGCUCGGCCGGGCCUUUCCCUCUGUGGAACCCCAUGCCCUUCACUGGGCGUGGCGGGGAAACAGGACUUUUACUGUGAAAAAAUUAGAGUGCUCCAGGCAGGCCUAUGCUCGAAUACAUUAGCAUGGAAUAAUAGAAUAGGACGUGUGGUUCUAUUUUGUUGGUUUCUAGGACCGCCGUAAUGAUUAAUAGGGACAGUCGGGGGCAUCAGUAUUCAAUUGUCAGAGGUGAAAUUCUUGGAUUUAUUGAAGACUAACUACUGCGAAAGCAUUUGUCAAGGAUGUUUUCAUUAA